rnacentral:rRNA from 1 species
GAAUUCCCCCUUAGAGUUUGAUCCUGGCUCAGGACAAACGCUGGCGGCGUGCCUAACACAUGCAAGUCGAACGAGAAUCGCCGGAUAGAGGCUUCGGCCAAUUGAAUGCGAGGACAGUGGCGGACGGGUGAGUAAUGCAUGAGCAAUCUGCCUUGGAGUGGGGGACAACAGUUGGAAACGACUGCUAAUACCGCAUGAAGUUAUCGGAGGGCAUCCUCUGGUAACCAAAGAUUUAUCGCUCUGAGAUGAGCUCAUGUCUGAUUAGAUAGUUGGCGGGGUAACGGCCCACCAAGUCUGCGAUCAGUAGCCGGACUGAGAGGUUGAACGGCCACAUUGGGACUGAGAUACGGCCCAGACUCCUACGGGAGGCAGCAGUGGGGAAUAUUGGGCAAUGGGCGCAAGCCUGACCCAGCAACGCCGCGUGAAGGAAGAAGGCUUUCGGGUUGUAAACUUCUUUUAUCAGGGACGAAAACGAUGACGGUACCUGAAGAAUAAGCCACGGCUAACUACGUGCCAGCAGCCGCGGUAAUACGUAGGUGGCAAGCGUUGUCCGGAUUUAUUGGGUGUAAAGGGCGCGUAGGCGGCGAGGUGUGUCAAGUGUGAAAUCUCCGGGCUCAACCCGGAAAGUGCGCUUGAAACUGCCUUGCUCGAGUCUGGGAGAGGGAAUCGGAAUAUAGGGUGUAGCGGUGAAAUGCGUUGAUAUCCUAUAGAACACCGGAGGCGAAGGCGGAUUCCUGGAACAGUACUGACGCUGAGGCGCGAAAGUCGGGGGAGCAAACAGGAUUAGAUACCCUGGUAGUCCCGACCUUAAACGGUGCACACUCGAGGUAGGCCCUUUUCACCGGGCCUGUCUCUUAGCUAACGCGUCAAGUGUGCCGCCUGGGGAGUACGGCCGCAAGGCUAAAACUCAAAGAAAUUGACGGGGGCCCGCACAAGCAGUGGAUUAUGUGGUUUAAUUCGAAGCAACGCGAAGAACCUUACCAGGGCUUGACAUCCUACUAACGAAGCAGAGAUGCAUUAGGUACCCUUCGGGGGAAGUAGAGACAGGUGGUGCAUGGUUGUCGUCAGCUCGUGUCGUGAGAUGUUGGGUUAAGUCCCGCAACGAGCGCAACCCCUAUUGUUAGUUGCUACGCAAGAGCACUCUAGCGAGACUGCCGUUGACAAAACGGAGGAAGGUGGGGACGACGUCAAAUCAUCAUGCCCCUUAUGUCCUGGGCUACACACGUAAUACAAUGGCGAUCAACAGAGGGAAGCAAAGCCGCGAGGCAGAGCGAACCCCUAAACAUCGUCUCAGUUCGGAUUGCAGGCUGCAACUCGCCUGUAUGAAGUCGGAAUUGCUAGUAAUCGCGGAUCAGCAUGCCGCGGUGAAUACGUUCCCGGGCCUUGCACUCACCGCCCGUCA